CCUACGGGUGGCAGCAGUGAGGAAUAUUGGUCAAUGGCCGGAAGGCUGAACCAGCCAUGCCGCGUGAAGGUCAGUGCCCUAAGGGCGUUAAACUUCUUUUGUGCGGGAGCAAUCAUGGUCACGUGUGGCCAGACGAGAGUACCGUACGAAUAAGCAUCGGCUAACUCCGUGCCAGCAGCCGCGGUAAUACGGGGGAUGCAAGCGUUAUCCGGAUUUAUUGGGUUUAAAGGGUGCGUAGGCUGUGAGGUAAGUCAGCGGUGAAAUGCUCCCGCUCAACGGGGUGCAGUGCCAUUGAUACUGGCGUGCUGGAAUGCGGAUGCCGUGGGAGGAAUGUGUGGUGUAGCGGUGAAAUGCAUAGAUAUCACACAGAACACCGAUUGCGAAGGCAUCUCACGAAUCCGCGAUUGACGCUGAUGCACGAAAGCGUGGGUAUCAAACAGGAUUAGAUACCCUUGUAGUC
rnacentral:rRNA from 1 species